rnacentral:rRNA from 1 species
AAAAAAAAAAAGAAAUGCCCGAUCUCAUCUGAACUCGGAAGUAAAGCAGGGUCGGGCCUGGUUAGUACUUGGAUGGGAGGCCGCCUGGGAAUACCAGGU